rnacentral:rRNA from 1 species
AGGACGAACGCUUGCGGCGUGCCUAAGAAAUGCAAGUCGAACGGAAAGUAGUAAUACUUUUAGUGGCGAACGGUCGCGUAACACGUAAGGAACCUGCCCUAAAGUGGGGGAUAACAGCCCGAAAGGGUUGCUAAUACCGCAUAUGGUUGAUUGUCGGCAUCGACGUUCAACUAAAGCCUUGUGCGCUUUAGGAUGGUCUUGCGGCCUAUCAGCUUGUUGGUGGGGUAAUGGCCUACCAAGGCUUUGACGGGUAGCUGGUCUGAGAGGACGAUCAGCCGGAUUGGGACUGAGAUACGGCCCAGACUCCUACGGGGGGCAGCAAUUAGGAAUCUUGCACAAUGGGGGAAACCCUGAUGCAGCGACGCCGCGUGGAGGAUGACGGCCCUCGGGUUGUAAACUCCUUUUGACAGGGAAGAAGAAUGUGACGGUACCUGUCGAAUAAGCCCCGGCUAACUACGUGCCAGCAGCCGC